rnacentral:rRNA from 1 species
GACGAACGCUGGCGGCGUGCCUAACACAUGCAAGUCGAACGGGGAGUUACUUGUAACUCCUAGUGGCGAACGGGUGAGUAACGCGUAGACAACCUGCCUCUAAAUUGGGGACAACACCGCGAAAGUGGUGCUAAUACCGAAUGUGGUAACUUGAUCGCAUGAUCGAGUUAAGAAAGAUGGCCUCUAUUUAUAAGCUAUCGAUUAGAGAUGGGUCUGCGUCUGAUUAGCUAGUUGGUGAGGUAAUGGCUCACCAAGGCGACGAUCAGUAGCCGGUCGGAGAGGAUGAACGGCCACACUGGGACUGAGACACGGCCCAGACUCCUACGGGAGGCAGCAGUGGGGAAUCUUCCGCAAUGGACGAAAGUCUGACGGAGCAACGCCGCGUGAGUGAAGAAGGUCUUCGGAUUGUAAAGCUCUGUCGUUUGGGACGAACGUGCUUUGUGUGAGUAAUGCAGAGUAAUGACGGUACCAAAGGAGGAAGCCACGGCUAACUACGUGCCAGCAGCCGCGGUAA